UGCAAAUGGAAUCUCAGGUGCCCACCUAGUCUCCUGCAGUGUACUACCAGAAACUAGGUUUCAUUUCAGGCAAGAAAAUAGUAACAUAUACACACAAGAAGAAUGCAGGAACCAAACUGUCAAAAAGGGCUGUAGCUCCCACUGAUGCAGAGAAAUGUUAGGUGAGUAUCCCAGGAGCAUCCCAGACACUGGUGACCCCAGAUGUCGAAGCCAUAGGAAUAGGAGAACACUCCUCAUAGCAAGAGUGAAAGCCCACAUUGACUGGCCAGCUAAGUAUGAACCUCAGGAACCAGGAAACUCAGAGAAUUAUCUAACAAACAUUUUUCAGUUGUCCUUUCUGUGUCCUCAUCCCAGUGUGAACUGAAGAUCUUUGUGGUAAAAGUGGAGAUUAAGGGCUGCUAUGCUUAGGAGCCAAAGUUCCUCACAUAUUCAGAGGGAGGGAGACUCUGGAGAAGGUUUUGAAAGCACCUGAAAUAGAGACCUACUGAUGGAGUAAGUGGCCACAACUUGAGAUAUAAAAAUAAGGGGUUUAGAGGUAAAUUAUUUCUUCUCUCCUGUUAAGGCAUCAAACUGAUUGCCACAAGUUCCCCUAGAUCAUCAUGGGUCUGGUUGGUUUUGGAACGUUUUUUUCUUCCUUUUACUGUAUGAAACCUGGCUGGUCUGGGCAUACCUCACUUCAUUGCUGCUGAAGAGCUUUGGGCAGUGAGGGCACUUCCGUGUAUAUGACAAUGACAUGACAAGGGGUUGAUAUGCAAUAGAAAGAAAAUAGAUAAUAUUUAAUAGAAUUACUGUUUUAGUAUAAAUUAUAAGUUUUCUUGAACAGUAGAAUUAACAAAACGUGUUUAUGUCAUUACCUCUCACCCAGGUCCACAAAGCUCCUUUCCCCUCUCAUCCCCACCAAGAAUUACA
rnacentral:lncRNA from 1 species